rnacentral:rRNA from 1 species
UACGAAGGGGGCUAGCGUUGCUCGGAAUCACUGGGCGUAAAGGGUGCGUAGGCGGGUCUUUUAAGUCAGGGGUGAAAUUCUGGAGCUCAACUCCAGAACUGCCUUUGAUACUGAAGAUCUUGAGUUCGGGAGAGGUGAGUGGAACUGCGAGUGUAGAGGUGAAAUUCGUAGAUAUUCGCAAGAACACCAGUGGCGAAGGCGGCUCACUGGCCCGAUACUGACGCUGAGGCACGAAAGCGUGGGGAGCAAACAGGG